rnacentral:misc_RNA from 1 species
AUCUUUCUACAGAUGCUUGAUAUUCUUCGUUGUAGGCUUCUUUUUGGGUAUGUUAUUGUUUGGUCAUGUGGAUAAUGAUGUCCGGAAUCAUGAUUUCUCUUUUGAGAUCAAGCCGCCACAUGUCAAUGUUCAAUUAGACGACGGCGAUAAUCGCAGUAUUAAGCACGGUGUUUUUGCUCUAAAUUCUGUGAGUUUGGGGGUUGAUGCGCAACUGAACUACGUUUCCAGAUUUGAUUUUGUCCCGAGGAAGCAAUUAAUCGUGAUUACGCCGACGUAUAAUCGUGCUUUACAGGCCUAUUUUUUGAAUAGAUUAGGGCAGGUGCUCAGGCUAGUGCAGCCUCCGCUGUUGUGGAUUGUGGUGGAAAUGAAGGCGGCGUCGAUGGAGACAGCAGACAUUCUGAGGAAAACGGGGGUAAUGUAUAGGCAUGUGGUGUGCGAGAGAAAUUCGACGACUGAGAAAGACAGAGGUGUACACCAGAGGAAUGCGGCUUUGGAUCACAUAGAGAGACAUAGGCUGGAUGGGAUUGUGUAUUUCGCUGAUGAUGAUAAUGUGUAUUCGCUUGAGUUGUUCGAAAGCCUGAGAGAAAUCAGCCGAUUUGGCACUUGGCCUGUUGCAAUGCUUGCACAAAGUAAAAACAAAGCAAUUUUGGAAGGUCCAGUAUGUAAUCGAACUCAGGUAAUUGGAUGGCAUACCAAUGAAAAAAGCAAAAGACUUCGAAGGUUUCAUGUUGAUAUGUCAGGAUUUGCCUUCAACAGCACUAUCUUGUGGGACCCAAAGAGAUGGAAGCGCCGCUCUUUGAAACCAAUUCGACAGUUAGACACAGUGAAGGAGGGUUUCCAAGAGACCACAUUCAUAGAGCAAGUGGUGGAAGAUGAAAGUCAAAUGGAAGGUGUUCCUCCUGACUGUUCAAGGAUACUGAAUUGGCAUCUUCAUUUGGAUGCUCGAGGUCUUGUCUAUCCCAGAGGCUGGCUGCUUCAGAAGAACCUUGAUGUCAUUCUCCCUGUCAAAUGA